rnacentral:rRNA from 1 species
GGCGGCGUGCUAUACAUGCAAGUCGAGCGGACAGAAGGGAGCUUGCUCCCGGAUGUUAGCGGCGGACGGGUGAGUAACACGUGGGUAACCUGCCUGUAAGACUGGGAUAACUCCGGGAAACCGGAGCUAAUACCGGAUAGUUCCUUGAACCGCAUGGUUCAAGGAUGAAAGACGGUUUCGGCUGUCACUUACAGAUGGACCCGCGGCGCAUUAGCUAGUUGGUGGGGUAAUGGCUCACCAAGGCGACGAUGCGUAGCCGACCUGAGAGGGUGAUCGGCCACACUGGGACUGAGACACGGCCCAGACUCCUACGGGAGGCAGCAGUAGGGAAUCUUCCGCAAUGGACGAAAGUCUGACGGAGCAACGCCGCGUGAGUGAUGAAGGUUUUCGGAUCGUAAAGCUCUGUUGUUAGGGAAGAACAAGUGCGAGAGUAACUGCUCGCACCUUGACGGUACCUAACCAGAAAGCCACGGCUAACUACGUGCCAGCAGCCGCGGUAAUACGUAGGUGGCAAGCGUUGUCCGGAAUAAUGGGGCGUAAACGGCCCGCGUCAGGCGGUUCUCUUAAGUCUGAUGUGAAAGCCCCCGGCUCAACCGGGGAGGGGCAUUGGAAACCUGGGGAAACUUGAGUGCAGAAGAGGAGAGUGGAAUUCCACGUGUAGCGGUGAAAUGCGUAGAGAUGUGGAGGAACACCAGUGGCGAAGGCGACUCUCUGGUCUGUAACUGACGCUGAGGAGCGAAAGCGUGGGGAGCGAACAGGAUUAGAUACCCUGGUAGUCCACGCCGUAAACGAUGAGUGCUAACUGUUAGGGGGUUUCCGCCCCUUAGUGCUGCAGCUAACGCAUUAAGCACUCCGCCUGGGGAGUACGGUCGCAAGACUGAAACUCAAAGGAAUUGACGGGGGCCCGCACAAGCGGUGGAGCAUGUGGUUUAAUUCGAAGCAACGCGAAGAACCUUACCAGGUCUUGACAUCCUCUGACAACCCUAGAGAUAGGGCUUUCCCCUCGGGAACAGAGUGACAGGUGGAGCACGGUUGUCGUCAGCUCGUGUCGUGAGAUGCUGGGUUAAGUACCGCAACGAGCGCAACCCUUGAUCUUAGUUGCCAGCAUUCAGUUGGGCACUCUAAGGUGACUGCCGGUGACAAACCGGAGGAAGGUGGGGAUGACGUCAAAUCAUCAUGCCCCUUAUGACCUGGGCUACACACGUGCUACAAUGGACAGAACAAAGGGCUGCAAGACCGCAAGGUUUAGCCAAUCCCAUAAAUCUGUUCUCAGUUCGGAUCGCAGUCUGCAACUCGACUGCGUGAAGCUGGAAUCGCUAGUAAUCGCGGAUCAGCAUGCCGCGGUGAAUACGUUCCCGGGCCUUGUACACACCGCCCGUCACACCACGAGAGUUUGCAACACCCGAAGUCGGUGAGGUAACCUUUAUGGAGCCAGCCGCCGAAGGUGGGGCAGAUGAUUGGGGGAAGUCGUAACAAG